GCGAGCGUAGUUUAAUGGUAGAACACGACCUUGCCAAGGUCGAUACGGGAGUUCGAUUCUCCUCGCUCGCU
rnacentral:tRNA from 2 species